AAGGGUGCGUAGGCGGCUUUUCAAGUCAACGCUGAAAGGCUACCGGCUCAACCGUAGUAAGGCGUUGAAACUGGAGAGCUUGAGUAUCGGAGAGGAAAGUGGAAUUCCCAGUGUAGCGGUGAAAUGCGUAGAUAUUGGGAGGAACACCAGUGGCGAANGCGACUUUCUGGACGAUGACUGACGCUGANGCACGAAAGCGUGGGGAGCAAACAGGAUUAGAUACCCUGGUAGUCCACGCCGUAAAC
rnacentral:rRNA from 1 species